GCACCAUUAUGAGAUGGGGUGGAGGAGCCAAUCCUGCAACAAUGGUCUGGGCAGAAGUUCAUGCAAAUAUGCAUGAUGUUUUAAUGAAAAUGUGAUGUUGCCAAUGCUAACUUCACACGUGCAGUCAUAUUACCAUGACAACCAGUAGCUCUCUAGAGUUCAAAUAUGGAGUAAUGACUUGCUUAUGCCUGAACAUUUAACUUAACAGUUUUUCAUGCUGCUAACAAUGAUUAAAUUGAAAAAGAACUCUGAGCCAAAUCUGACAGAUAUGGGAAAAAUUCAUUUCUGAAAGCAAUAUCUAAAAUAAUUGCUGGCUACAUUUGCUUCCUAAUUCUGAGAAAAAAAA
rnacentral:lncRNA from 1 species